GACGAACGCUGGCGGCGUGCCUAAUACAUGCAAGUAGAACGCUGAAGGAGGAGCUUGCUCUUCUGGAUGAGUUGCGAACGGGUGAGUAACGCGUAGGUAACCUGCCUGGUAGCGGGGGAUAACUAUUGGAAACGAUAGCUAAUACCGCAUAACAGUAGAUGUUGCAUGACAUUUGCUUAAAAGGUGCAAUUGCACCACUACCAGAUGGACCUGCGUUGUAUUAGCUAGUUGGUGGGGUAACGGCUCACCAAGGCGACGAUACAUAGCCGACCUGAGAGGGUGAUCGGCCACACUGGGACUGAGACACGGCCCAGACUCCUACGGGAGGCAGCAGUAGGGAAUCUUCGGCAAUGGACGGAAGUCUGACCGAGCAACGCCGCGUGAGUGAAGAAGGUUUUCGGAUCGUAAAGCUCUGUUGUAAGAGAAGAACGAGUGUGAGAGUGGAAAGUUCACACUGUGACGGUAUCUGACCAGAAAGGGACGGCUAACUACGUG
rnacentral:rRNA from 1 species